rnacentral:rRNA from 1 species
GAUGAACGCUGGCGGCGUGCCUAAUACAUGCAAGUCGAGCGAACAGACGAGGAGCUUUCUCCUCUUACGUUAGCGGCGGACGGGUGAGUAACACGUGUAUAACCUACCUAUAAGACUGGGAUAACUUCGGGAAACCGGAGCUAAUACCGGAUAAUAUAUUGAACCGCAUGGUUCAAUAGUUAAAGACGUCUUUGCUGUCACUUAUAGAUGGAUCCGCUCCGCAUUAGCUAGUUGGUAAGGUAACGGCCUACCAAGGCGACGAUGCGUAGCCGACCUGAGAGGGUGAUCGGCCAAACUGGAACUGAGACACGGUCAAGACUCCUACGGGAGGCAGCAGUAGGGAAUCUGCCGCAAUGGGCGAAAGCCUGACGGAGCAACGCCGCGUGAGUGAUGAAGGUCUUCGGAUCGUAAAACUCUGUUAUUAGGAAAGAACAAAUGUGUAAGUAACUAUGCACGUCUUGACGGUACCGAAUCAGAAAGCCACGGCUAACUACGU